rnacentral:lncRNA from 1 species
UGCGCAGGCUCCGGGAGACGGUGAAGGGCAGGGAGGCCUGGCGUGCUGCGGCCCCGGCGUCGCCAGGGGUCGGGGACUGAGCGCCUGGACGACGGCGGAGCCAAGCAGCCGGAGAAGCUCUGACACGACUGUCGUGAUCUACCCAGCUGACUCAGUUGUGAAGAAUAAGUGACUGUGAAUGGAAAUUUUUGCGAAUGAAUCCAACCAACGACUGAGCCAAGGCUUUGCUGAUGAUGAGAAUAAUGUGUUUCAGUAGAUGUACAGGUGCUCCCUCACGUGUGACUAUAUUACAGGGAACUAAGAUCCUGCAAGUCCCUGGUACAGCCAAAAAGAACUGCUUAGACCACCACUGCUCAAAGUGAGAUUGGAGGAAUUCCCAAGGAUUCCUACAACACUUUUAAGGCAUCCAUGAAGCUAAAGCAUUUUUACAGUAAGACUGAGACCCCUUCAUUCUUCCAGCGGCUAUGUGAUAUGUGCCAGCACAGAGAUCAAGUGCGGGGCGGUUAUUGUUAGAGUCCAGCCAUCUCCUGUUCCCUCAGACAUUAAAGGGGUUUGCAGAAUGGUAGAAUAACCACUCUUCUUACUAGUUCUUUUUCUUUUAGAAAAUAUCAUCAUGUUUUCAUAAAUCCAUGUUGUUUAUAUGAACAUCAAAUGAGUUUAUCUUUGCCUAUAAAUAUACAAACUUUGUCUCAGUUUCUAAUAUGGUAAAUGCUGAUCCAUAGCACACUCAGACAGAAGCUCUUUGGGGUCCUUGGUAAUUUUCAAGACCCGAAAGGGGCCCUGAAACCACUAGCAUAGCCAAUAAGGAUACUUAUUAUUUCACAUAAUCAGAGGUUCAAAGGGUCAGUGGUGGGCCCUGGGGUAGAGGCAG